ensembl:snoRNA small nucleolar RNA SNORA15
GCAUGGAAUAAUUCUGUGUUACUCUGUCAGUAGUAAAUGCAGCCAGACACCAUGCUAAAGUAACAUUUCACACCUCUCUUACUAUGGUGUAGUGCUGUCCUGUGCCUCACCUACCGGGGAGUGAAUACAUAC